rnacentral:rRNA from 1 species
AGUGAACGCUGGCGACGUGCCUAAUACAUGCAAGUCGAACGAAGUGGCGCACGGGUGAGUAAUAUAUAGUUAAUCUGCCCUACACAGAGUAACAACAGUUGUCAACGACUGCCAAUACCUCAUAGUGUAGGAUGAGACUCUAUCGUAUCAUCUAGUUGGUAAGGUUAUGGCUUAUCAAGUCUAUGACGAGUAACUGGUCUGAGGCGAUGAUCAGUGACAUUGGACUUGAGACACGGGCCAAGAUCAUACGGGAAGCAGCAGAAAGGAAUAUGGCGCACUGGGGGAGAACCAGACGGGGAUACGGCGCGUGGAGGACGAUACUUGGCGGAGCGUAAACUCCGUUUAAAAGGAAAGCGGUACCUGAUGAAUAAGCACCGGCUAACUCCGUGCCAGCAGCCGCGGUAAUUC